rnacentral:lncRNA from 1 species
GAGUUUUUGGUACACCUAAAGUAUUUUGAGGUUGUAUAUAUGUGCACGAAACUUGGUUGACACCCUAUAAAGAAAGGUUUGUUACUGCUUGGAUUAAUAGAGUCACUCAUUUAGGGAACACGAUAAUAAAUAGGUAUAUUGACGUGACUUUGAAUAUGGGUGCAUUACUAAUUAUCAAAUAAUGAAAUCUUUUUUUCUAUUUAUGUUUUUUAG